UUUGGAGCGGAUGCCAGCAAAACAAUGGAUUAUUUACCAAGAGAUAUUAAUGUAUGGAGUCAUGUCGAGAAAACAGUUCUGCUAAUAAACGGACAAAAUCUUUUAAAUCUUUGAUCGAAGCAUUGGUAUGUGGAUCUCGAGUGUUUACACUGCACUAAACCUUGACGAGCAACACUCCGAUCUGCAAACAAAGAGCUGAGGAAGAGAAAGAACACGAGAAAGAACAGUAAUCAAGAGAAGUGUUAUCAUCACUGAAGAAAUGGCAGAUUGUAAUCCCCAGACACCGAGCAGGUCAAGCCCUGAAGAAAUAACACCAUGGACAUCAUCUUCUGACUGAACUAGCAAGGAGCUGUUGGAGUCAAUAAGAAAGCUGUUGGAAUGUAAACCUACCUGAGUAAACUCCACUACUUUAAUGAUAAUUUCUAAGUUUACUGAGCGACGUAAACUGCUGUCAUCCACAUCACAUCAUUGCUCUAACCAACGUUACCUGAAGAAUCCUUUCAGCGUGGCAGAUAUUUGCAAACGUCUGGAGCCAACUUAAAAUGCUGAACUGGAUACUUACUGAAGAAUGAGCUUCAACACUUAAGGUUUGUACAAAGUUACACCAUAUUACUGAAAACGGCACGCAUCAACAAGAUUUCAGAGACUCUGCGUGACAUUUUAAAUGUUUAUGAUCUUCAGGGUGUGCAUGAUGUCAACAUGAAACGCACCGUAGCCCUCCGUGCUCCUCAGUGUACCUGUGAGGAGGACCUACAAUUCUUCAAGACUUGAAAUGAGGUGUUGGGAGAGCCAGACAUCACUGAUUCUGUCAUUGUGGUCAACGAAACGAAAGCACAAGUCCUUCAAGCACUGCAGUUGUGAUAGAAGAUGAUCUUCAGUUUUAUAAUAAAAGACUAAUCUUCAAAAAAAUCUUCAAUUGUACAGCUGUAGGUUUAUUUAUUUAUUUAUUUAUUUAUUUAUUUUUUAGGUUUUGUUGUUGUUUUUUUGUCUUUUGAGUUAGUAUUUUUAUGUAAUGAUGUCCUGCAGAGGUGCCUGAUCCUGUUCCUGGAGAUCUUCCUGCCUGCAGAGUUCAGCUAAGUUAUUCAGCUCAUUAUUUUGCUAAGUACAACAGCAAAAC